GACAUAGGUGGCGAACGUUAUCCGGAAUUAUUGGGCGUAAAGGAUGCGUAGAUGGUAGAAUAAGUUACUGGUCGAUGCCAAACUCAAUUUGGCGGAAACCGGUAAUACUGUUCUGCUUGAGGGCAGGAGAGGUUGAUGGAAUUCUGUGUGGAGCGGUGAAAUGCGUUGAUCUACAGAGGAACACCAAAAAAGGCGAAGGCAGUCAACUAGUCUGUUCCUGACAUUGAGGCAUGAAAGCGUGGGGAGCAAACCGG
rnacentral:rRNA from 1 species